ensembl:antisense Gm15965 predicted gene 15965
GAAAAUCAAUAUCUAUUUCUAUACUUUCUUAAAAAUAAAUAAUGUAUUUUUAUUCCUUAAUUACCACUCUUUUAGAACAAUGGAGGAAAUGUUUUAGUACAAAAUAUAUUCACAGAAAGAGUCCAUUCUCAGGAGGCUAAGGCAGGAUAACUGUCAUGCAUUUGAGGCCAGCCUGGGCUACAGAGUGCUACACCAGCCAGGCCUAUAUUGCAAGAACCAUUUGUAAAAGCAAAGACCAAGCUGGGCGUGGCCUUUAAUCCCAGCACUCGGGAGGCAGAGGCAGNNNNNNNNNNNNNNNNNNNNNNNAACCAAAAAAAAAAAAAAAAAAAAAAAAAAAAAAGAAGUCAAAUAUCAUCAGGAAUACCCUGAAAAUGGUAAGGCCUCGCAGAUUACAAAGCAAAGGUCGGGGCUGGAGAGAUGGCUCAGUGGCUAAGAGCAGUGACUGCUCUUCCAAAGGUCCUAAGUUCAAAUCCCAGCAACCACAUGGUAGCUCACAACCAUCUGUAAUGAGAUCUAACGCCCUCUUCUGGAGUGUCUGUAUACACUACAGUGUACUCACAUACUUUAUUUAUUAAUAAAGUAAAUCUUUAAAGUCUACACAGCAAUCCCAGGAAGGAGACAGUACUGCCAUCAUUCUCAUUUACAGAUGAGGAGACUGAGACAGACAGAGGAAUUCGAUCUCUUGUGCAAGAUCACCCAGCUAGCAAUGGUACAUAGGGAAAGGGGUGUAACUAAGUCCAGGAACAGAGACUGCUUUCUAGCUACCAAACUCUCCUGCUUUAAAAGAGUAACUCAUUCUAUACUAAAAUAAUGAGAAAAUAAUAAUGAAAACAUUUUUUAGUCCUUGAAAUUUAAAAACUUAAACAGGCUCCUGAGUUGCUACAGUUACAUGGUUUGAAAGUGGUCUGUCCCUUAAGUCUUCAUGCUUUGGAGGUUUGGUGCCCAGGGCGGCAGUGUUGGUGAUGGUGUGGAACUGUUAAGAAGUAGGGCCUUGUGGGAGUCAUUAGACUAUGGGGAGAAAUGCCCUGGGAGAGAAUGCUGGUUUCCUGUGGUGCACUCUUAAGGGAGCCAGUAGUUACAGAAGCCUGAGCUAUAUAUGCGACUUUCUAUAUGCUUCCUGUUUAACGACAUUUCCCUAUAUAACCUGUGGUAAUGCCGUCAAGUGUCACACUGCUUUGCCAGUUGCCAAAGGAAUGGGCCUGUCCAAUCGUGACUUCCGAUCUCUAAAAUUAUGAGCCAAAAUAAAAAUAAGACUUUUUUCUUUAUAAAAUUGGCCUCAUUACGAUAAAUCACUGCAGUGCUCUAAAAGCAGCUAAUACAGAACUGAAGGAACCAUGUCUAAGAUACCAUGUUCUGCAGAGCCUCACUUACACUCCACACAAUAGCA